UACGGGGGGGGCAAGCGUUGUUCGGAAUUACUGGGCGUAAAGGGCGCGUAGGCGGUUUGCUAAGUUGAAUGUGAAAACUCUGGGCUUAACCCAGAGCCUGCAUUCAAUACUGGCAGGCUAGAGUUCUGGAGGGGAUAGCGGAAUUCCUGGUGUAGCGGUGAAAUGCGCAGAUAUCAGGAGGAACACCAAUUGCGAAGGCAGCUCGCUGGGACGUUACUGACGCUGAGACGCGAAAGCGUGGGGAGCAAACAGG
rnacentral:rRNA from 1 species